CAGAUUUUUAUUAUUCCUGAAAUUAAACAAACAAACAAUCAAAAAAACCCCAAAAAGAAAUAAAUUUUAAAAAUUAAAACUUUACUAUUUUGCAGAGCCAUCACUCCAAUCAGAAACUGAAAUCCUGCUUUGUGCUCCUCCAGUGUGGAAAUCUGUCAGGUCCCUGUGCAGAGUUAUUCAGCACUGCCGUUUGUUGUGUAACACCAGUGGGUUCUGUGAUACCGGAGUUCUGCUGGUUCAAAGGAGAUGGCCCUGUGGAGCAUCUUUUUGAUGUCAUGGCUUUUGCUAGAGGCUUUUGUUUAAAGCUUCCCACACACUGUCUGCUCUCUCUCCUGCUCUCCCUCCCGCUCACAUGUGGGAAACAGCAGAGUAAUUUGCAAUAUAAAUUACAAAAUCAACUGUUGAGUUUACAGAUUGAAUAUGCAUGAAAAUAUUGCAUGGUGUUACUGUCUUCCUCAGCCUAAUAAAGGUAAAUAUGUCUGAAAUGUGUA
rnacentral:lncRNA from 1 species